UACGUAGGGUGCGAGCGUUAAUCGGAAUUACUGGGCGUAAAGCGUGCGUAGGCGGUUCUCCAAGUCCGUUGUGAAAGCCCCGGGCUCAACCUGGGAAUGGCAGUGGAAACUAGGGGACUGGAAUCUGGCAGAGGGGGGUGGAAUUCCCAGUGGUAGCGGAUUGAAAUGCGUAGAUAUUGGGAGGAACACCGGUGGCGGAAGGCGGCCCCCUGGACCGGUACUGGCACGCUGAGGCGCGAAAGCGUGG
rnacentral:rRNA from 1 species